rnacentral:lncRNA from 1 species
UAUAUUGUGAUGAAUUUUAAAAGAAAAUAUGGUUUUUGAAUAUUAGGUUCUGCGAGGGAUUUGCGGAAUUAAUUGGAUUUGUCGUGGAUCGCGUUCGCAAGGUACGUGAUGUAACCUCUUUUCUAGAUUUAUCGGCAAACUAUAUAUAUGUUUCACGAAUCGAAUUAUUCGUAAUUUCGAAUUUGAUGCAUGAAUUAUAUGUGUAUUUUUAGAAUAUUAUAUGAUUAUGAUUGAACGUAUUUGCUUCUGAUUUGAAUUGUGUUUAAUUGCUCUGAUAUUGUACCUUUUGGCUUGGAACACUAAACAUAAUGUAAGAAAAGAUUAUGACUUGAAAUAGAUUCAGACUUGCAGUCGGGCUAUGUUGAGGACCCUGCCAAUGGGGGCUAAUACAUUGGUACCGCAAGAUGAAUAGUCGGUGAUAUGACCCUACCACAGGAAAUAUGUGGUCAUAGUU